CGACUCAAGCAGAAAUACUAAAAAUUGUUCUUGUUUCCAUUGUUCCCUAGAGUUUCUUAUCUACUUUCCUCGAAGGAAAAUUUUCUGGUUCCCUUUCUUAUUUGGAUCUCUAGAAGUGGUGGAAAAAGCCCCAGAAGUCCUCACAGCUUGAUUCCAAAGCGAUCAGGUGUAACUCUCUUGAAGUGGUAGAAACAGAGUAGAGGAGAGAGCCCUUGCAAUUGCAACACUGAAUCCACAAACUUUUCAAGACUGCCAAUUCAGAUCGACAGAAAGAAAGAGAAGUAAAAAAAUUUGAAGCACAAAGGUCGAAUUGGUGUAGAAGGGAGUCGCAACAGUCUAGCAGCUCCUCAUCCUCACAUCUUGAUUUACUUCAAGUGAUAAGGUAAUCUUCAUGAAUUAUGCUGUAGUUAUAGUAAAUUUUGUUUGGAAAAGUCUGAGUUU